ACUCAAUCCAUUGUUUCAUCAGCAUGUGGCAGAAAUUUCAAAUUUGACAACAUUAACAGGAGUUUGGGGACUUAUUGGUCUUCACCUCGCUGAUGAUGCAAUUCUACGUUUUAACUACGUCUCUUAUGCAAGACAGUUACAGGGGUAUACACAUCUUGACUGAAAAAUUGGAAGCUUUUCAUUGCAUCCUAUAAUUGAUGCCAUUCAUCAAUUUAUAGCUGCAGCUGUAGAAAUUGAGGAAGAAGUGAAGAAACUGAGCGAGGAUGAAACCAUGGACGACCUCUUUUUAAGAGGCGACUGUUAAAUGAUCGAUUGAUAUUUGCCGAAAGGGGUUUCUUAGAUGGAAAAAGGCUUCCAGGAAAGCAAUGGUUCAAGCAUCUUGUAAGCAUUUGUCCCAGAACUAUAUUGUUUUUAUUGAACAGUAGACCAAAGUGGUUUUAGAUUUAUGGGCCUUGUACUAACCAUGAAAGCAAUCUAGAUUUCUUCCCUGGAAUUGUCAAUGCCAUAGCAUCCCACUGCAUGAAUAAGAUCGAAAGGGAAGGUGUGAUUCAAUUCUUGGGCAGGGGUUCUAGGGGUUUAGGAUUAGCAUAGCGUAAGCUCGGUACUCUACUGGAUCAAAAAAAAUAAGAAGCUGUCUGCAAUACUUGAGCCUCUGGUAUGUCUGAGAAAAGGAAUUCAUUCUCCAUGUGAAGGCACUGCUCCUGAACUGGAAACAUGUUCAUUUUCUCAACAUGCAUUGAAGUUUUAACAUAUAAC